rnacentral:misc_RNA from 1 species
GAUGAAGAACGUAGUGAAAUGCGAUAAGUAAUGUGAAUUGCAGAAUUCAGUGAAUCAUCGAAUCUUUGAACGCACAUUGCGCCCGCCAGUAUUCUGGCGGGCAUGCCUGUCUGAGCGUCAUUUCAACCCUCAAGCAACUUCUGCUUGGUGUUGGGGAUCGGCCGUCAAACGCCGCCCCCGAAAUCUAUUGGCGAUCUCGCUGUAGCUUCCUAUGCGUAGUAGUAACAUCUCGCAUCUGGAGAGCGGCGCGGUCAUGCCGUAAAACACCCAACUUCUCAGGUUGACCUCAGAUCAGGUAGGAAUACCCGCUGAACUUAAGCAUAUCAAUAAGCGGGAGGA